GACGAACGCUGGCGGCGUGCUUAACACAUGCAAGUCGAACGAUGAAGCCCAGCCUGGUGGGUGGAUUAGUGGUGAACGGGUGAGUAACACGUGUGUAACCUGCCCAUCACCCUGGGAUAAGCCCGGGUAACUGGGUCUAUUAUCGGACAGAAGCGUCCACGCCAUGGUGGGGGUUGGAGUGAUUUAUCGUGUUUGGUUGGGCUCGGGGCCUAUCAGCUUGCUGGUGAGGUAUUGGCUCACCAAGGCGACGACGGGUAGCCGGCCUGAGAGGGGGACCGGCCCCGCUGGGCCUGAGACACGGCCCAGACUCCUACGGGAGGGAGCGGUGGGGUAUAUUGCACAGUGGGCGCAAGCCUGAUGCAGCGAAGCCGCGUGGGGGAUGUCGGCCUGCGGGUUGUAAUCCUCUGUCAGUAGGGAAGAAGCGAAAGUGACGGUACCUGCAGAAGAAGCACCGGCUAACUACGUG
rnacentral:rRNA from 1 species